UCCCUGGUAGUCCAGUGGCUGAGAGUCUGCAUUCCCAAUGCAGGGGGUCCAGGUUCAAUCCCUGGUCAGGGAA
rfam:Ovis aries breed Texel chromosome 18, whole genome shotgun sequence.